UGUACAGCAAGGGGGUCAGGUUAUCCUUAUAUGUAUACAUUACAAUUACAUUUUUCCCCCACCCUUUGUUCUGUUGCAACAUGAGUAUCUAGACAAUGUUCUCAAUGCUAUUCAGCAGGAUCUCCUUGUAAAUCUAUUCUAAGUUGUGUCUGAUAAGCCCAAGCUCCCGAUCCCUCCCACUCCCUCCCCCUCCCAUCAGGCAGCCACAAGUCUCUUCUCCAAGUCCAUGAUUUUCUUUUCUGAGGAGAUGUUCAUUUGUGCUGGAUAUUAGAUUCCAGUUAUAAGUGAUAUCAUAUAGAGCCUACGUUUGUAUAACUUGCAUCCACUUAAAUUUAAUUUGAACAUUAAUCUAAAUUGAACUUAAUUUAUGUAUUCAGUUGUUUUCUCAAUUAUUAACAGACGAGUAAUAAAUAUUUACAAUUGUAAUUGUGUAUCAAGUUUUGCCUCACAUAUUAUUUGGUGCUAAUUUUUAGAUUUUUUUUUUGUCCUCUUGAUGAAUUGAAACUUUUAUCAUUAUGAAGUGAACAUCUUCACCCCUGUAUUAUUCCUUGAUCUAAAGUAUGUUUAGGUUAAUAUUCAUUUUAGAACUCCAUAUUUAUUUUCAUCAGUAAUAGCCUGCCACAUCAAUGUUUAUGUUCUUUAACAUAUUUGUCACUUUGCAUUUAAAGUGGUUUUCUUAUGAGUAACAUACAGUGGGCCCUACUUGCUUUUUUUUUGUUUUUUGUUUUUUUCAUUUUAAGUCAUCCUGUUCAGCCAUUUUCUUUUCUCUUUUAUUUAUUUAUUUUUUUAACUGUUAUUUCCCCAGUACAGUUUUUUUUCCUACUGUACAGCCUGGUGACCCAGUUACACAUACAUAUACAUAUUCCAUUUUCUCACAUUAUCAUGCUCCAUCAUAAGUGACUAGGCAUAGCUCCCAGGGCUACACAGCAGGAUCUCAUUGCUAAUCCAUUCCAAAGGCAAUAGUCUGCAUCUGUUAACCCCAAGUACCCAAUCCACCCCACUCCCUCCCCCCUCCGCCUUGGCAACCACAAGUCUAUUCUCCAAGUCUAUGAUUUUCUUUUCUGUGGAAAGAUUCAUUUGUGCCAUACAUUAAAUUCCAGAUACAAGUGAUACCACAUGGUAUUUGUCUUUCUCUCUCUGACUUACUUCACUCAGGAUGAGUGUCUAGUUCCAUCCAUGUUGCUGCAAAUGGCAAUAGUUCAUUCUUUUUUUCUGCUGAGUAGUAUUCCAUUGUGUAUAUAUAACACAUCUUCCUAAUCCAAUCAUCUAUUGAUGGACAUUUGGUUGUUUCCAUGUCUUGCCUAUUGUGAAUAGGGCUGAAAUGAACAUGCAGGUGCAUGUGUCUUUUUCAAGGAAAGUUUUGUCUGGAUAUAUGCCCAAGAGUGGGACUGCUGGGUCAUAUGGUAGUUCUAUGUAUAGAUUUCUAAGGCACCUUUGUACUGUUCUCCAUAGUGGGUGUACCAGCUUCCAUUCCCACCAACAGAGCAGGAGGGUUCCCUUUUCUCCACACCCCCUCCAGCAUUUAUUUGUGGACUUAACUAAUGAUGGCCAUUCUGACUGGUGUGAGGUGGUA
rnacentral:lncRNA from 1 species